GUGCAAGACAACUAAUAUAAGAAAAAGUCUUCGCCGUUAAAUUAAUGGAAUUCACAUAUGAGAUCCAUCAAUCUAACGACUAUUACAAGCCGUCCAGAAUUAGAAAUAAUCAAAUUCGCUUUGACAAGAAGAUCCUAAAAAGACCAACCAGUGGUGCCGCUUUACUUUCAAAAUAACCAACUGAUUCUUUUCAUUUCUAAGCAAAGCCUUCCAUGACUGAAACAAAUUCGAUUUUACAUGUACAUCGAAGCAUUACCAAAAUGAAGGAGUCUGCUAUAUGUACAUAUGAUUUAUAAUUUCCAUCGUUCGCUAAAUGGCCACAGGAUUUCAAGGCUGACACCAGGAACUCAUGUUUUCACUCGAGUUUCGGCAACUUUUUAACCAGAAAGUUUUUAGCUUCAUCUUCCGUAACCUCACUGUCUAUGGCUUCUGAUGUGGAAAUCAAUGUGAGCUCUUUUGAUGCAAGAAAUUCCCAGAAAUUGCCAAGCUUUUUCUCCUGGCAGAGUCUGAAAAGAUGGUGAAGGAAAUCGUUGAAUUGUUUUGGUUCCUGCUCAAGGAUGCAACCCUUGUGAAGGGCAACCAAACAUUCCAGUGCUUUACAAUAAUUAUCCCCUCCUUUGCAAUUCUCCACCAUGUUGCAUAUUUUAUUUUCCAUAUCCUUAAUUGCUUUAGCAACCCAAUCUGGGUUAUCUCUGCGGGACAUCAUGGCUUCAAAAUCUUGGACAGGAGUUAAAUCCCCAAUUUUAUCAGCCUUAGCUAAGAGUUGGCUUUCAUCAGACUUGAUGGCUAGAGCAUUUGACGUGUCUCCAUAACCCCCUUCAUCAUCUGAGCCAGAAGGCUUCUCUUGCAAUAGUCGCCUGGUUGAUUUUUUAAGCUUUGGAUUCUCCUUAACUUCAAAGCUUUUACAUAAUGCUUCAAUAACAGAUUUGCUUUCAGAAAAAAGUUGUGGAUCAGGUUCAGUUAUCUUCUUGAGUGUUCUGUCUAGUGGAGGUACAGCUGCAUCUGGUUGCUUUGAUUUUAACUCAAGAUGAUGAUAAAAGCGCUCCAGAAUAGGAUUUGGCGUGAACUCAGGAAGAAGAGCUUCCUCUUUUCCAGGUGGUGCCAGGUCAAGCAUCAUUACCAGGUUGUCUGCUGCCUGUUGCUCUUGUUCACUCGGCUGCCAUGAGGCGGGAAAAUUGCUGAAAGAAGGGAACUGAAAUUCUCGGACAUCCUCAGCAAAAGGAAGCACAUUGAAGCAAAAUGAAUCAGGCUGCCAGGAAAACCAACAAACAACAUUGGCUAGGGAAAGUAAAUCCAAAGCAAAAAUGCAUGCAGAGACAAACAACUUGAUGUAAAGGAACCAAAAUAUUUCAUAUUGAAACCUACAGUCUUGUCUUUCUCAGAUAGGUUGGGUGUCAAAACCCCCAAAACAACACUUCCCUGUCCUUGUCUCCAAACACAUCGCACAAUUGCAACCUUAUUCAAUUCCUUCAUUGCUCUUGCUAAGGCAGAAACAGCAAUUGCAGCCCUCGCAUUGCCAGGUUCAGCUAUAAAGAUGUUGACAUCUUUCAUGUAAUAGUGUCGCAAUAUGUUUGAAGCAUUAGUGAAACCAAGAAGCUUCACACUCUUUUCUGGCUUGAACUUGAAAGCAUCCCACUCAACUGAUGAUAUAGGAACCACUUGUGGUCCAUAUCGAUAACCCUUAAUUCUUUGGUUUGGCGGUAUAACUUUACUAGGAUCUUCAACACUUUUGUACUCAUAAUCUACUUUGACUUCAUGUGUGGCAUAUUUAUCAGUUGGAGGUGCUUUAUCAGAAUAUUUCUUCAGAGUGGGAAACUUCUCCUCCGAGGUUUUCUUGUAGACCCAUACCUUAAUCUUCAACUUGGGACUGAUUUCAAGGUCACCCCUGAAAAUUGUAACUGGUGAUAUAUCUCGAGUUCUAAGUGCACCUAACAAUGAGGUUGGACUCUCAACAUACACAGUCUUAGCGGAUGUUUUCUCUGAAAAUAGAUGCAAGAGAUGGUCAUUCUCAUCGACUAUUCUCUGAUCUAUAUCCUCACCCAAUCUUCCCCUUACAAUGAUGGUCUCCAUCCUCACUCCAUGUGCAGCCAUUUGAACAGCAAUAGUGCUCACUUGAUCAUCUUUGGUUCCUUUGUAUGGAUCUUUAAUAGGAUUCUGUGCAUCUGUUAUAAGACAGAUACGUUUUUUUCCUUUGUUUGUUAAUUGAUACUUUUUAAUCAGCAUAUCCAUACCAACAACAACAGCAUCAAGAUAAUCGCCAGCAACAGUUCCUCGUGGAAGUUCUUGUAAUGCUUCAACAAUAUCUCCAUCAACAACCUUGAUAUUUCGCAAAACCACAACAUGCUCAUAUCCACCAACUUCUAUUGUGAGCUCAUUGUCAGUGUCUUCAGCUCCAAAUAUGACAAUUCCAACUUCAUCAAAUUUUCUGUAAAUUAGCUUUUUCUGUAUGAGCAUGGAACAAAUUUUUUGAACCUCAGGAAGAACUUUGUGCAUUGAUGGACCAACAUCGAGUAACAAUACCAAUCCUUCCCGGUUUCGAGCCAUUGCAGAGGCAGAAAGAACAAAGCUUGUGGUAGAAGCUGAAAAUGGAGGUGCAGGAAGAGGGCUUUAUUUGAGUUUAAAAUGGGUCAAGUGCUAUACUCCGCUCUUCGAUUCUUCCCGCCUCG
rnacentral:misc_RNA from 1 species